UGGCUGAUCUGUAAUUAAUCCACAUAUCUCGAAGACUCCAACCACCUACCGGCCUCCGGCCGAACCAUUACCUUUCACCCCGAUCCUCCAUCCCCGGCACCCGCGAAGAUUUCACUUUUUAACGCAACAGAAACCAUCGGAUUUUCUUGUUUGGUCUAAUUACCGACAGCUAUGGACGAGCCCCGAAAACACCAGGUGUCAUUGCGGGGAGCUAGCGCGAAGGAGAUUUCAAGGGAUGCGCUUCUUGCCAAGGUUUCUCAAGAGAGAGAGCUUCGCAAUUUUACACGAAGAGCAACUUCUGCCGCACUUUUUCUUCAGAGAGUUUGGCGUCGUCACAGGGCGGUAAAAGUGGUAUCUAUGCAGCUUCAGCAACAGUGGCUAGCAGAGAUGAAUCAAAAUGCUAUCUGUUGGAACAAAAUGCAGAUUUCAAGGAUUGUUCUGAGGCCUUUUAUCUUCUUUAUGACUUUUUUAUCUACUCGGUAUCAAAGAAUUGAAACCAGAGAAGAAGAUUGCGUGAAGCUUUGCUUCAGGGUUUUGUUGGAAAGCAUAAACUCAACUGAUCCAAAUGAAAACUUUUGCUCUUUGGUAACGGGUACCACUGAAGAGAGAAAAAUAUGGAUUUAUCAGUCAAAGAAGCUAAUUUUACUAUGUCUACUGAUUUUGGUGGAGGUUGAUUACACUGAUCGAGGGCUUCAAGAUGUUGGCGUUGUCUCUUUAGGAAUGCGUCUAGCAGUUCUCUUGACUGAUUGGAAAGGUUGGAAAAGCAUAACUGAACGGGAUACUCAAUAUGCUGAUGCUGCAGUAAAGAACUUAAUCUGGUUUAUUGCGAAUAAAGAGAGUGGGACAUAUAACAGUAUUAGGAGAUACAUUUGGAAGUUGGAUCCUGUACCUACUCAAGGGGCAUCUUCCUGUAGAACAGAUGAUAGGUUUUUGAUUACUGCUAGUGCAUUAACUUUGGCUUUACGGCCAUUUCAUUUUAGAGACACAGCUGGAACUGGUAGUGGCGUAUUGGAAUUGCAACAUGCUGCAGAAAAUUAUUUCUUUUUUUUGCUUACUAUACCUUGGUUUUCUGAACGUCUGCCAAUGGUGCUUCUACCUGCUCUGAAACACAAGUCUGUUUUAUCAUCCUGUCUAAGAUCACUGCUGAUCUCAAAAGAUAGAAUUUCAAAGGAAAUAUCUGAGAUGGAUCGAUUGGAAAUUCAUUUGCAGUCUAAGAAGAUGCCUCAAGUUGCUUGGGCCCUUGCAAAUAUUAUAUUUCUUGCAACAUCCAGUGACGAUGGCGCUGUGAGCUCUGGAAAAUUUGCCCCAGGACUGGAUUUAGUGGCCUAUGUCCGUUUUGUUAUCAUCCUUGCAGAAAACUUAUUGGCUUGUUUUGGGAAAGAUGGACAGGUAAGAUUCAGGAACCAAGAAAUUCAAGUUGAUGUAGAUAACCAGGUUGAUCCUAUUGGAAUGGGAUUGCUUGAAUCUGAGACAACUUGCGAGUCCUUAAAGAUGUCAUACACAGACCUUCUUAAACCUGUUUGUCAGCAGAGCCAUCUUUUGGGACUCCUAAACUUGGAGAAAGAUAUUUCUGGUCGUAUGACUGAUACACAUCAAAGUUCAGAAGCUCCUAUGAGUUUUGAAUUGCUUGAUGUUGCUUAUUACUAUUCAUGCAUGAUUAGAAUAUUUUCUGCACUAAAUCCUGUGCUCGGGUCAUUGCCAGUUCUCAACAUGUUAUCUUUUACUCCUGGAUUUCUUUCAAAAUUGUGGGAAGUAUUGGAAAGAUCUCUUUUUCCUGGAAGGAGUCAUGAUGCCAAGGACAAUUCUUUUGGUAAUGAUAUUUCCAAAAGCAAGGAUGAUGUCUCUCAGAGAAAGCAAAAAUGGUGUGCUAAAGACAGAGGCAAUAAAUGGGUCAAUGUAUUGCACAAAUUCUCUGGAAACUCACCAACAGAAUCAAGUAAAAUGAAUUCUACUGGAAAAUCCAGCUUUGACAGAAUUCGAGAUCAGUCUUCUUCUGUGUGGGAUGUAGAGGCUCUCAGACGUGGUCCUGUAGGCUUAUCGAAAGAUAUGCAUUGUCUCCUUCAUCUAUUUUGUGCCAUAUAUUCACACCUGCUUUUAGUUCUUGAUGACAUAGAGUUUUAUGAGAAACAGGUUCCAUUCACAUUGGAGCAGCAGCGCAAAAUUUCAUCAAUGCUUAAUACACUUGUCUAUAAUGCUGUAUCUGGCGGUGUUAGCCCACAUAAUAGAACUCUGAUGGAUUCUGCAAUUCAAUGCCUACAUUUGCUAUAUGAAAGGGAUUGCAGGCACCAGUUUUGUCCUCCAGCUUUAUGGCUUUCACCUGGUGAGAGAAAUCGCCUGCCAAUUGCUGUAGCUGCUAGGACUCAUGAAGUUCUAUCUGCAACUGUUAUACCAGAUGAUGCUUCAGCCCCUUCAAGUAUGGCUGCUUCUGUCAUUACUCUUACUCCACAUGUCUUUCCAUUUGAAGAAAGAGUUGAAAUGUUCAGAGAAUUUAUUAACAUGGAUAAAGAAUCCCGUAGAAUGGCUGGUGAGGUUGUUGGACCCGGUCCAGGAUCAGUUGAGAUCAUCAUCAGACGUGGACAUAUCGUGGAGGAUGGUUUUCAACAGUUAAAUGCUCUUGGGUCAAGGUUGAAAUCUAGCAUCCAUGUAUCAUUUAUUAGUGAAUCUGGUCUCCCAGAGGCCGGCCUAGACUAUGGCGGAUUAUCCAAGGAGUUCUUGACUGAUAUAGCAAAAGCAGUUUUCUCACCAGAGUACGGGCUGUUCUCUCAGAGCUCAAGCUCAGAUAGACUUCUCAUUCCUAAUACAGCAGCAAGAUUUUUAGAGAAUGGCAUACAAAUGAUCGAGUUUCUGGGAAGAGUAGUUGGCAAAGCACUUUAUGAAGGAAUAUUACUUGAUUACUCCUUCUCACAUGUAUUUGUACAAAAGUUGUUAGGUCGCUAUAGCUUUCUUGACGAACUGUCAACACUUGAUCCUGAGCUUUACAGAAAUCUUAUGUAUGUGAAGCAUUAUGAUGGUGAUGUCAAGGAACUCUCACUGGAUUUCACAGCUACGGAAGAAUCACUCGGUAAAAGGCAUCUUGUUGAGCUAAAACCCGGCGGCAAGGAUAUCUGUGUGACAUCUGAGAAUAAGUUGCAAUAUAUUCAUGCAGUUGCAGACUACAAACUUAAUCGGCAGAUACUUCCUUUCUCGAAUGCAUUUUGUAGAGGGUUGACUGACCUUGUUUCCCCAUCUUGGUUGAGGUUGUUCAAUGCAAGUGAAUUCAAUCAGUUGCUUUCUGGUGGGAACCAUGACAUUGAUAUUGGUGAUUUGAGGAAAAAUACAAGAUAUACUGGUGGUUAUACAGAAGGGAGUCGGACAGUGAAACUCUUCUGGGAGGUAGUUGCUGGGUUUGAAGCGAUAGAACGUUGCAUGCUUCUUAAAUUUGUGACAAGUUGUUCUCGAGGUCCUUUACUAGGGUUCAAACACUUGCAACCAGCUUUUACUAUUCACAAGGUUGUAUGUGAUGUGCCUUUCUUGGCAACAUUAGGAGGACAGGAUGUUGAUCGGCUUCCAUCUGCUUCUACAUGCUAUAAUACUCUUAAGCUUCCCACCUACAAACGUCUAGGCACUUUGAGAGAGAAACUUCUGUAUGCCAUCAAUUCUAAUGCUGGAUUUGAGCUUUCUUAGAGACUUCUGAUUCACUAGCAAGGAGAAUUGGCAAAGAAGGUGAGGAGGGUAUAAAGGUUGCUGGAAAUUUUUGUUUCCCAAUGCUAUCGUGGCUAGAAUUCAGUCAUGAAGCAAUUCUUUUCCAUUAUUUGGAGCAUCUGAGAUCAAUCAGAAUAAACAUGUUCUUUAUUGGAUAUAGCUUAAUUUGGUCCUCUUUUCAAAGCCAUGGAGGUUUCUACCUAUACUAUCAAAGUCAUUGGAAACACCUUUGUGACUCUUAACAUCCAUAAAGUAGUUUUAACUAGUGGACUUGAGUGGGAUAGUGAGUGAUGUUGCAACUGCAGUAGGCACUAAGAGAUGAGAUCAAAUCCCUGCUCUAGUAGACUCUCUGCCAACUUUUCAUUAGCAGCAUCCGAGGGAUGGAAACCAUCCCAGAACACAUAUUCUGUAGCAUUUGAGCAUGUCCCUACUGACCUGGAAUUGCACAAGAACGAUGUCUCAAUUGUACCAGUCCCACAGCAAGCCUUUCUUGAUUCGAAAAAUCCUGGCAAAGGACAAUGUUUCUCCAAUUAGUUCAAUCACAGGUUCCUUUCCAAAGACAGACCUUCCCUCUCUCUGUUGAGAAAGGAAAAUUACAAGAAAAUGAUUGUUCACUACCUACAUUACGCAUCUGCACGUGUGAACUGCCUACCUAGCCUGUGAAUGCAUUUUUAUUGUGCCAGAGCCGAGAAGUUGCAAAUUACCAUUGUCCGUAGGCUUCGUGAUUAGGUCUAGCAGAGGAUUGUAAAUGUCAAAGACUACAAGUUUGAGGCCAGGAUGCUUGCUCUUCAAAUUCUGUGAGGUGCUGUUCAGUUUGUUAUUGAAGGAGAUUGCGUCCUGGUUCAGUCUUGCAACACACAGGUUGCUUCCUGAACCAAAUAGUGUAAUAGCUGCUGGCAGGCAUCCGGUUGGUGGUAGUGUUGUGACUCCAAUCCUCCUUACUCCCAGACCAUACAGAUUCUGUCACAUAGUAAUUUCAAACACUGCACUUGUUUGGAAUUCUUAGCUGCAGUUCCUUGUUGCUUAUGUGGUGAAGUUGCAAUCUGAGUAUUUGUGUCAUUACAGUAAAAGUACUGCUUGGUUAAGUUACAUGAAUCUGUUUCCUCAAUCUUUUUUGUUACUUUUCUGUGUUUAGGAUUAUCAACUCUUAGUGACACAAGAAUUUUGUUCAUAAAUUUCAUUAUAAAAUUUUAUGUACACACAUAUUAACAAGGGCGAAGUCUGUAGUACAUCUAUUUAGAUCUUGCUGUGCCCGUGAGAGUCUUCAUUCUA